rnacentral:miRNA from 2 species
ACUCAAACUGGGGGCUCUUUUG